rnacentral:rRNA from 1 species
GUGCCAGCCGCCGCGGUAAUACGUAGGUGGCAAGCGUUGUCCGGAUUUAUUGGGCGUAAAGCGAGCGCAGGCGGUUCUUUAAGUCUGAUGUGAAAGCCCCCGGCUUAACCGGGGAGGGUCAUUGGAAACUGGGGAACUUGAGUGCAGAAGAGGAGAGUGGAAUUCCAUGUGUAGCGGUGAAAUGCGUAGAUAUAUGGAGGAACACCAGUGGCGAAAGCGGCUCUCUGGUCUGUAACUGACGCUGAGGUUCGAAAGCGUGGGUAGCAAACAGGAUUAGAUACCCUGGUAGUCCACGCUGUAAACGAUGAAUGCUAAGUGUUGGAGGGUUUCCGCCCUUCAGUGCCGCAGCAAACGCAUUAAGCAUUCCGCCUGGGGAGUACGACCGCAAGGUUGAAACUCAAAGGAAUUGACGGGGCCCGCACAAGCGGUGAGCAUGUGGUUUAAUUCGAAGCAACGCGAAGAACCUUACCAGGUCUUGACAUCUUCUGAUAACCUAAGAGAUUAGGU